GUUGUAGCUCAGUGGUAGAGUGCUUGCCAAGCACAUGUGAGGUACUGUGUUCAAUUCUCAGCACAACA
rnacentral:tRNA from 1 species